CUAUAUAUAAAAGCGUAUAAGAAUUCCGACAAUGACAGACAAAAUCUAAAACUAUUAUAUAUAUAUAUAUAUAUAUAUAUAUAUAUAGAAUUAGGCUACUAUACUAUCUAUAGUACGGGAGUUCCCGUACUAUAGUGUUGUUUUCGUUCUUAGGGCGUUCAAAUCAACGAUCCACACCGUUAAAUAUGAUCUAGGGUAUAUGAAGUUCUUAGGAAUAAAAUUUUAGUUCUUUUCGAUAUCGUUUACUUAGUAAAUAAAUUAUGUCAAAAUGGACGGUGGGAAUUGAAUACUCUUUAAAAUUUGAGCAUAGGACUUUUAAAUUCAAGAUCAAGAAUGUUAACCUUAAUCUAUAUAGUUUAAAGAAUUUUCUAUCAAAAUUUGAAGAAAUUUAGAUUCUUCUACACCGUUAAACUCCAAACUCGUCAUAAUAGCCAUUGAAAUUUGACAAUUUUGAAAUGUUUUGAUCAUAAAGUAAACUAUGUCGAAAAAAUAUAAAAUUUUAUUUCUAAAAACGUUAAAUACCCUAGAUCAAUUUUAACGGUGUGGAUCGUUGAUUUGAACGCCCGAAGAUCGAAAACAAUACUAUAGUACGGGAGCUCCCGUACUAUAGAUAGUAUAGUAGCCGGACUCUAUAUAUAUAUAUAUAUAUAUAUAUAUAUAUAUAUUAACCCAAAUACAAUUUAAACUAUUUUAAAUAACAAAUAACUAUAUAUAUUUAUAUAUAAUUAUGAAACUAAUAUUAAAAAUUUUAAAUAAAUAUUCAAACUUUUUUUAAAAAAAAGAAAAUAAAAAUUGGCCUGGCCCAAACCUGCCUGGGCCUCCAGAGAGGCCUUGUGAGGCCUCGGAAAAGCCGGCCUGACAUGACAUGGCAUAAAUUUUUAUACCUUUUUAUGCGGCAUAUAUAGUUUGUUUAUACUUUACUAUUCUAUAGUUUAAAAUAUAACACUUUAAUUAAAUGUUAUUGUAUUAUAUUUUGUAGGAGUUUGUUGCUUAAAUAUUACUAAUUAUGUAAUCUUUUAAGAGGCACAUAAGAUCGUUUUUGCGUUUCAUCUUCAGAAGCCUCUAAAUCUCAUAUUUUCAAUUAAAAUAACACUAACAUAUUCCAUAUAUAGGAAAGCACCAUUCCAACAGUUUUUGUAGAAGAUGAACGGUUAUAUAACUGUUGUAAUCCAAAUAUCCAAAACUGCCAGCGAAAAUCCAAAGUCUAUGAGCAACCCUCGGAUUCACCUUGUAUUUAUGUGAGAAAUUUUCUAUAUAUUAGAGGGUGUGCUCAAUGUAUAAUUAUCUAUAAAUAGGAAGAUGAGUGAGGUCAAGGGAGAGUGUAUAUGUAAUAUUUGCUUUUAAAUUA
rnacentral:lncRNA from 1 species